rnacentral:rRNA from 1 species
UGGGGAAUAUUGCACAAUGGGCGCAAGCCUGAUGCAGCCAUGCCGCGUGUAUGAAGAAGGCCUUCGGGUUGUAAAGUACUUUCAGCGGGGAGGAAGGCGAUAAGGUUAAUAACCUUGUCGAUUGACGUUACCCGCAGAAGAAGCACCGGCUAACUCCGUGCCAGCAGCCGCGGUAAUACGGAGGGUGCAAGCGUUAAUCGGAAUUACUGGGCGUAAAGCGCACGCAGGCGUUGUGUCAAGUCGGAUGUGAAAUCCCCGGGCUCAACCUGGGAACUGCAUUCGAAACUGGCAGGCUAGAGUCUUGUAGAGGGGGGUAGAAUUCCAGGUGUAGCGGUGAAAUGCGUAGAGAUCUGGAGGAAUACCGGUGGCGAAGGCGGCCCCCUGGACAAAGACUGACGCUCAGGUGCGAAAGCGUGGGGAGCAAACA